rnacentral:rRNA from 1 species
UGGUGCCAGCAGCCGCGGUAAUUCCAGCUCCAAUAGCGUAUAUUAAAGUUGUUGCAGUUAAAAAGCUCGUAGUUGGAUAUCUGCUGGAAGCAGCCAGUCCGCCCUUUGUGGGUGUGCACUUGGUGAAUUCUGGCAUCCUCCUGAUUGGUGUCAUCAUCACUUCAUUGUGUUGGUGGCAGCUGUCAGGACCGUUACUUUGAGAAAAUUAGAGUGUYUCAAGCAGGCUUGUUGCCUUGAAUACUGCAGCAUGGAAUAACAAGAUAGGAUUUCGGUUCUAUUUUGUUGGUUUCUAGGACUGAAGUAAUGAUUAAUAGGGACAGUU